CAGGGCCUACGGGACGCAGCAGUGGGGGAUAUUGCACAAUGGGGGGAACCCUGAUGCAGCGACGCCGCGUGGGUGAAGGAGCGUUUCGGCGCGUAAAGCCCUAUCGGCAGGGAAGAAGGAGGACGGUACCUGACUAAGAAGCCCCGGCUAACUACGUGCCAGCAGCCGCGGUAAUACGUAGGGGGCAAGCGUUAUCCGGAUUUACUGGGUGUAAAGGGGGCGCAGACGGCAGCGCAAGCCAGGAGUGAAAGCCCGUGGCCCAACCCCGGGACUGCUCUUGGAACUGGGCGGCUGGAGUGCCGGGG
rnacentral:rRNA from 1 species